rnacentral:rRNA from 1 species
UACGUAGGGAGCAAGCGUUGUCCGGAUUUACUGGGUGUAAAGGGCGUGUAGGCGGAGACGCAAGUCAGGAGUGAAAUCCCCGGGCUCAACCCGGGAACUGCUUUUGAAACUGCGUCCCUUGAGUAUCGGAGAGGCAGGCGGAAUUCCUAGUGUAGCGGUGAAAUGCGUAGAUAUUAGGAGGAACACCAGUGGCGAAGGCGGCCUGCUGGACGACAACUGACGCUGAGGCGCGAAAGCGUGGGGAGCAAACA